CUGGGUUCUGAAGCUUCUGAGUUCUGCAGCCUCACCUCUGAGAAAACCUCUUUUCCACCAAUACCAUGAAGCUCUGCAUGACUGUCCUGUCUCUCCUCAUGCUAGUAGCUGCCUUCUGCUCUCCAGCGCUCUCAGCACCAAGUAAGUCUACUUUUGCAGCUGCUAUUUUGAGUCAAGGUGUAGGCAGAGUCCUUUUUUCUAGUCAUGGCUGGCAAACAGUGGGAUCUGGGGAUGGGACAAAAGGCAGCUAGGAAGAUUGCCAUGUAGUCUGCUGCUAAAUGUAGAGUCUAGUAGAUAUUCAAUAACAUUCAAGUUCCUAUUUUCUUAAGAAUUAGCAACCAGCAGAGGAAAACGAUGGGCUGGAAGUCAGACUGUUGAGUUGGCUCUGCCUUUAAUUAUUUGUUCAAGCAAGCCCCUGUCCCUCUCUGUGCCUUGGUUUCCCCAUCUGUCAUAUGAAGGGAGUGCGAUGUGUUCUGAGACUGAAUCCAGUUCCAAUCUUCUAGAUUUCUUUCUCGUUCUUCUCUGAAGAUCCACUAUUCAGAAUAAGACUCCUGCUCAUGUUAGGUGGGAAUGGAUAUUUGGGGUUCUGGUAGCUCCACAGGGAUGCUCAAUGAAGAUGCAAAAUUAGAAGUCAAAAUAAACAGCUCCCACGGGCAGUGUUGAUCUCACCCUGGCCUUUCCUUUCAGUGGGCUCAGACCCUCCCACCGCCUGCUGCUUUUCUUACACCGCGAAGAAGCUUCCUCGCAACUUUGUGGUAGAUUACUAUGAGACCAGCAGCCUCUGCUCCCAGCCAGCUGUGGUGUGAGUAUCAACCCCUGGGCUGCCCUGGGAGGCAAGGGUGAGGGCUGGAUUUUUAAAGGGGGCCUGUUUUGGGGAGGGGGUGAUUGAGCGUUGGGGAGGCAGCUCCCAGGGCUGAAGCCUUCCCUGAGAGCAGUGAGGUCACAGGUCAUGAACUCACUUUUCAAGUGCUGAAGGCGGCAGAGUGGGAGCCGAGAGAGAAGGGGGUUCCUGGGGAGGAAGUUAUUCAGAGGACAGGGAAGCAGGGGAAGGCAGACAGGUCCCGUGAGAUAUGGACCAAUUCCUUAAACCGUGCUAGAAAGACAUGUGGAAAAGUCACUGCCAGGCUGGCAGGGAAUGGGGCAAUCUAUUCAUACUGAUUGCAAUGCCCAUUGGUUCCUAAUCUGGGCAACCCCUGGGGCCCACAGCUAAAUCCAGUGAGUGGAAGUUACAGGGAGUCUGCUUCCAGUGCUGCUCCAGGAAGGAUCCCAUCCACCAGAGCUGCCCCACAUGGACCAUGGUCAGGCAGAGGAAGAUGCCUACCACAGGCAAGGGAUAAAGCCAGAUGACCUCAAAGGUCUCAUGAGAUUCUAAUCUGUCCGCUCCUUGUUCUACAGAUUCCAAACCAAAAGAAGCAAGCAAGUCUGUGCUGAUCCCAGUGAGACCUGGGUCCAGGAGUACGUGUAUGACCUGGAACUGAACUGAGCUGCUCAGAGACAGGAAGUCUUCAGGGAAGGUCACCUGAGCCUGGAUGCUUCUCCAUGAGACACAUCUCCUCCACACUCAGGACUCCUCUCCGCAGUUCCUGUCCCUUCUCUUAAUUUAAUCUUUUUUAUGUGCCGUGUUAUUGUAUUAGGUGUCAUUUCCAUUAUUUAUAUUAGUUUAGCCAAAGGAUAAGUGUCCCCUAUGGGGAUGGUCCACUGUCACUGUUUCUCUGCUGUUGCAAAUACAUGGAUAACACAUUUGAUUCCGUGUGUUUUCAUAAUAAAACUUUAAAAUAAAAUGCA
rnacentral:sRNA from 1 species